rnacentral:rRNA from 1 species
UACGAAGGGGGCUAGCGUUGCUCGGAAUUACUGGGCGUAAAGCGCACGUAGGCGGCUUUCUAAGUCGGGGGUGAAAUCCUGGAGCUCAACUCCAGAACUGCCUUCGAUACUGGAGAGCUUGAGUCCGGGAGAGGUGAGUGGAACUGCGAGUGCAGAGGUGAAAUUCGUAGAUAUUCGCAAGAACACCAGUGGCGAAGGCGGCUCACUGGUCCGGUACUGACGCUGAGGUGCGAAAGCGUGGGGAGCAAACAGG